rnacentral:rRNA from 1 species
AUGGAGGCGGUGGAUGGACGGAGCUCGCUAGGACUAUGCCUGUCGUCUUCUUCAUCAAGCUGGCGCCAUGGAGGACAAAGGCAUGGAGGCUCGCGAGGAUGCCGCUUUUGUGUCGCGGUGGAUCGCGACAUGGAGCUUGCCAGGACGAUGCCCAUCAUCUUCUUCAUCAAGCUGGCGCUAUGGAGGACGAAGGCGUGGAGGCUCGCGAGGAUGCCGCUUUUGUGUCGCGGUGGAUCGCGACAUGGAGCUUGCCAGGACGACGCCAAUGUCAACUUCAUCAAGCCGGCGCCAUGGAGGACGAAGGCGUGGAGGCUCGCGAGGAUGCCGCCGACGUGCCACGGUGGAUGGCGCCACGGAGUUCGCCAAGAUGACAUCAAUGUCCAUAUCAUCAACCCGGCGCCGCAAGGAUCAUGA